rnacentral:rRNA from 1 species
CCUGCCAGUCAUAUGCUUGUCUCAAAGAUUAAGCCAUGCAUGUCUGAGUACAGACCGAUCUAAGGUGAAACCGCGAAUGGCUCAUUAAAUCAGUCAUAAUUCCUUGGAUAGUGAAAAACCUUCCUCGGAUAACUGUGGAAAAUCCAGAGCUAAUACGUGCAACUGAGCUCCGACCUCGACGCGAGUCGUGGGAAGAGCGCAUUUGUUAGAUUCAAAACUGACCGGCGUACUCCUCCGGGAUACGCCGUUUGUUAAAUUUUGAUGACUCAGGACAACUUAGUCGAGCGCUACGGUCCUUAGUACCGGCGCCGUAUCUUUCAAGUGUCUGCCUUAUCAGCUUUCGAUUGUAGGUUAAACGCCUACAAUGGCUGUAACGGGUAACGGGGAAUCAGGGUUCGAUUCCGGAGAGGGAGCCUGAGAAACGGCUACCACAUCUAAGGAAGGCAGCAGGCACGCAAAUUACCCACUCCCAGCCCGGGGAGGUAGUGACGAAAAAUAACGAUGCGAGACUCUUCCGAGGCCUCGCAAUCGGAAUGAGUCCAUUUUAAAUCCUUGGACGAGGAUCCAUUGGAGGGCAAGUCUGGUGCCAGCAGCCGCGGUAAUUCCAGCUCCAAUAGCGUAUAUUAAAGUUGCUGCGGUUAAAAAGCUCGUAGUUGGACUUUCUAGAUCCAUUUCGUGGGCGAGUCGCUCUUUGUAUUGGCGUCUCGUGCGGUUCCUUGAUGGUAGCGUCUGGUGUUGGUGCGUGUUCGGGGGUGUAUUUUUCUUUUGCGGCCUCACGGUCGUACUAGAGAUUGCUCUCGCGCGCGCGCUCCCUGGCGUUACAGAGUCUUGUGGGCGGCGAGGCGUUGUCUUAGAGUAUAGCUCGUCCGCGUUUGGUACAAUUAAAUUUUUGUUGGCUCGCUCGGAGUGCUCUUUACCGAGUGUUCCAGGGUGGCUGACACGUUCACUUUGAAAAAAUUAGAGUGCUUAAAGCAGGCUUAUUUACGGCCUGAAUGUCUGUGCAUGGAAUGAAGUAACAGGACCUCGAUUCUGUUGUUUUUGUCGGUUUUAUUGAACCGAGGUAAUGAUUAAAAGGGACAGACGGUGGCAUUAGUAUUGCGACGCUAGAGGUGAAAUUCUUGGACCGUCGCAAGACUAACUACUGCGAAAGCAUUUGCCGAGAAUGUUUUCAUUAAUCAAGAACGAAAGUUAGAGGAUCGAAGGCGAUCAGAUACCGCCCUAGUUCUAACCCUAAACUAUGCUAACUAGCGAUCCGCCGGAGUCAUUCCCACGACCCGGCGGGAAGCCCCAGGGAAACCAAAGUCUUGGAGUUCCGGGGGAAGUAUGGUUGCAAAGCUGAAACUUAAAGGAAUUGACGGAAGGGCACCACCAGGAGUGGAGCCUGCGGCUUAAUUUGACUCAACACGGGAAACCUCACCAGGCCCGGACAUCAUAAGGAUUGACAGGUUGAGAGCUCUUUCUCGAUUUGAUGGGUGGUGGUGCAUGGCCGUUCUUAGUUGGUGGAGUGAUCUGUCUGGUUGAUUCCGAUAACGAACGAGACUCUACCCUACUAACUAGUCGGCGGAUCGUAACCCUGAGAUGGUUAGUUUGUAUAGGAGAGAUUUGCCUAGGCAAAGUCCGUUAUCGAUGGGGGUUGUGUAGCUCUAUAACUAUUCUAUAUAGCGAAGAGUCUCUAUACUUUCUCUCGGAGGUUGCGUGGCGAUGUCGAAGCUGCUCUCUGAUUACUGCUACUGCUGGGGGCGUCCGUCGUAAUGUAUCUUCUUAGAGGGAUCAGCGGCGUAUAGCCGCACGAGAAAGAGCAAUAACAGGUCUGUGAUGCCCUUAGAUGUUCUGGGCCGCACGCGCGCUACAAUGUAGGGCUCAGCGUGCUUUCCCUCUCCGAAAGGAGCGGGUAACCCGUUGAAACCCCUACCCGAUUGGGAUUGGGGAUUGCAAUUAUUUCCCAUAAACGAGGAAUUCCCAGUAAGCGCGAAUCAUUAAUUCGCGCUGAUUACGUCCCUGCCCUUUGUACACACCGCCCGUCGCUACUACCGAUUGAAUGAUUCAGUGAGGGCAUCGGACUGGCCCUUCGGUUUAGUUAUCUAGACCUUAGGCUGACGGAAAGAUGUCCGAACUUGAUCAU